UAGAGUUUGGUUAAGAUUUAGGAUUUGGUUUAUGAUUUGAUUUGGUUUAGUUAGGAUUUAGUUAGGAUUUAGGUUUUGCUUUAGGAUUUGAUUUAGAUUAGGAUUUGAUUAAGAUUUAUUUAGGAUUUGAUUAAAAUUUGAUUAGGAUUUGUUUAGGAUUUAUUUAGGAUUUGAUUAGAAUUUGAUUAGAAUUAUUUUAGAGUUUGAUUAGGAUUUGACUAAGAUUUGUCUAAGAUUAGUUUAAGAUUUGGUUAAGACCUAUUCAGGGUUCAAGAUUUGAUUUAGGAUUUGAUUUUAUUAAGAUUUGGUUAAGAUUUAAGAUUUGAUUUAGGAUUUGGUUUAGAUUAGAAUUUGGUUAGGAUUCGUUUAUAAUUUGAUUAGAGUUUGGUUAGGAUUUAUUUAGGAUUCGAUCAGGAUUUAAUUAAGAUUUAUCUAGGAUUUGAUUAGGACUUAUUUAGGAUUUGUUUAAGGAUUGUCUAGAAUUUGAUUAAGAUUUGUUUAGGAUUUGAUUACGAUUUGGUUAGGAUUUGUUUAAAGUUUGAUUAGGAUUUUUUUAGGAUUUGAUUAGGACUUAUUUAGGAUUUGUCUAGGAUUUGACUAGGGUUUGGUUUAGGAUUUGGUUAGGACCUUUUAGGAUUUGAUUAGAGUUUGACCAAGAUUUUAUUAGGUUUUGACUAAAAUUUAAUUAAGAUUUUUAUUUUAAUAUUUUAUUAAGAUUUCUAUUUUAGUAUUUUUUUAACUUCUAUGUUUUUUAAUGGUUUCUUUAAAAGUUCUCUAAAAAUUCUUUAUAUUAUUUAUAUAAUUUCUUUAAAAUUUUAAUUGAAUUUAAUUGAUGUUUGAUUAUAUUUUUUAAUUUUUAAUUAUAAUUUAUUUAAGGAUCUAUUAGAGUUGUUAAGACUUAUUUUUUCAAUUCUUUUUUUUAUCUUCCA
rnacentral:lncRNA from 1 species